GACGAACGCUGGCGGCGUGCCUAAUACAUGCAAGUCGAGCGAAUUUAUGAGAGCUUGCUCUCGUAAAUUAGCGGCGGACGGGUGAGUAACACGUGGGCAACCUGCCUAUAAGACUGGGAUAACCUCGGGAAACCGGAGCUAAUACAGGAUAAUUCACAUCUACUCAUGUAGAUCUGCUGAAAGAAGGUGUCGGCUGUCACUUAUAGAUGGGCCCGCGGCGCAUUAGCUAGUUGGUGGGGUAACGGCUCACCAAGGCAACGAUGCGUAGGCGACCUGAGAGGGUGAUCGGCCACACUGGGACUGAGACACGGCCCAGACUCCUACGGGAGGCAGCAGUAGGGAAUCUUCCGCAAUGGACGAAAGUCUGACGGAGCAACGCCGCGUGAGUGAUGAAGGUUUUCGGAUCGUAAAACUCUGUUGUUAGGGAAGAAUAAGUACUAGAGUAACUGCUAGUACCUUGACGGUACCUAACCAGAAAGCCACGGCUAACUACGUGCCAGCCGCCGCAGUAACAC
rnacentral:rRNA from 1 species